rnacentral:rRNA from 1 species
GAUGAACGCUGGCGGCGUGCCUAAUACAUGCCAGUCGAGCGAACAGACGAGGAGCUUGCUCCUCUGACGUUAGCGGCGGACGGGUGAGUAACACGUGGAUAACCUACCUAUAAGACUGGGAUAACUUCGGGAAACCGGAGCUAAUACCGGAUAAUAUAUUGAACCGCAUGGUUCAAUAGUGAAAGACGGUUUUGCUGUCACUUAUAGAUGGAUCCGCGCCGCAUUAGCCAGUUGGUAAGGUAACGGCUUACCAAGGCGACGAUGCGUAGCCGACCUGAGAGGGUGAUCGGCCACACUGGAACUGAGACACGGUCCAGACUCCUACGGGAGGCAGCAGUAGGGAAUCUUCCGCAAUGGGCGAAAGCCUGACGGAGCAACGCCGCGUGAGUGAUGAAGGUCUUCGGAUCGUAAAACUCUGUUAUUAGGGAAGAACAAAUGUGUAAGUAACUAUGCACGUCUUGACGGUACCUAAUCAGAAAGCCACGGCUAACUACGUG